UACGAAGGGUGCAAGCGUUAUCCGGGAUUAUUGGGCGUAAAGAGCUCGUAGGUGGUUCGGUAAGUCGGAUGUGAAAUCUCCAGGCUCAACCUGGAGGGGUCAUUCGAUACUGCCGUGACUAGAGGUCGGUAGGGGAGUGUGGAAUUCCUGGUGGAGCGGUGAAAUGCGCAGAUAUCAGGAGGAACACCCGUAGCGAAGGCGGCACUCUGGGCCGAUACUGACACUGAGGAGCGAAAGCGUGGGGAGCGAACAGG
rnacentral:rRNA from 1 species